CUAUAAAGGUUUAGUCCUGACCUUUUUAUUAACUAUUGCUUAACUUAUACAUGCAAGCAUCUGCGCACCAGUGAGAACACCCAAAUCAGCCCUACCGGAAAAUGGAGCCGGCAUCAGGCACAUCCACCCCAUAGCCCACGACGCCUAGCUUACAGCCACACCCCCAAGGGAGACAGCAGUAAUUGACAUUAAACCAUAAGCGAAAGCUUGAUUUAGUUAAAGCAGAGAGGGGCGGCCAAUCUCCGUGCCAGCAGCCGCGGUUAUACAGCCAUAGCCUCAAGUUAAUAAAGACGGCGUAAAUUGUGGCUAGGAUUUAAAUCUCCCAAGUUAAGGUGAAAAGGUCACCGAGCCAUGAAAAGCUUAGAAUUGAACCACUAACAUCAAUAUUAAAUUAACCUUAAUCCCCAAGACACUCCCGAACCCACGAAAGCUAGGGCACAAACUAGGAUUAGAUACCCUACUAUGCCUAGCCGUUAACAAAGGUGUAUUAAUUACAUACUACACUCGCCAGAGAAUUACGAGCCAUCGCUUAAAACUCAAAGGACUUGACGGUACUUCGCACCCACCUAGAGGAGCCUGUCCUAUAAUCGACAGUACUCGAUAUACCUUACCAACUUUUGCCUUAAACGUCUAACAGCCUGUAUACCGCCGUCGCAAACUAGCCCCCUGAGGGACAAACAAUUUAGUACAAUAGCUUAUUUGAGCUAAUACGUCAGGUCAAGGUGCAGCCAAUGAGUUGGAAGAGAUGGGCUACAUUUUCUACCACAUAGAAAUAUGUCACGGAGAGCCCUGUGAAACCAGGACUGUCAAAGUUGAAUUUAGCAGUAAAUUGGGAAAAGAGUGCCCAAUUGAAGAUGGCCCCGAAGUACGUACACACCGCCCGUCACCCUCUUCGAAUUAUAGCACAACCUGUUACAUAACACAAUAGCAGCCAAUGAGACGAGGAAAGUCGUAACAAGGUAAGCGUACCGGAAGGUGCGCUUGGAACAU
rnacentral:ncRNA from 1 species